ACCGACACAAGAGUCCAAAAGGGGAAAAAUAUGGUUCACAAUAGCUUCAAUCUCCUAGAUUUCAAAGCAUUAACUAACCAAAGACAACCGCAUUCGAAAAUACAAUGAGGAAAAUGCAUAGAGGAUGCUGAUUUCAUACAUAGCGCAAGCAAGAAGCAGUUCCAGGAAAGUCCGCCAACACCACCAUCUUAUCAGCCUCCCUUGCACCUUCAAGACCUCAACAGGAUCUUCCCACACUUGUACAUUUUUAUUUUACGUUAAAACUCUACUAUGACGAUGCUUGGAUGUGAGAUGAGUUUCUAUGAGGCAAAAGAGAGUUAGAGUUUAGUCAUGACUGCAUUAAAAUGAGACGUGGCUAGGGUUCUGAAAUAUUACUUUGAACUUGGUUGGUCGCUACUUCAGUUCUUGCAUCAUUCAAAAUGGCUCCGGUUUAACUGUAGAUAUUAUUUGUAUUAUUCGAGUUCUACCGUUGGAUUUAAGAAAAU
rnacentral:lncRNA from 1 species